rnacentral:rRNA from 1 species
CCAGACUCCUACGGGAGGCAGCAGUGGGGAAUAUUGCACAAUGGGGGAAACCCUGAUGCAGCGACGCCGCGUGAGUGAAGAAGUAUUUCGGUAUGUAAAGCUCUAUCAGCAGGGAAGAUAAUGACGGUACCUGACUAAGAAGCCCCGGCUAACUACGUGCCAGCAGCCGCGGUAAUACGUAGGGGGCAAGCGUUAUCCGGAUUUACUGGGUGUAAAGGGUGCGUAGGUGGCAGGGCAAGUCAGAUAUGAAAGCCCGGGGCUCAACCCCGGUACUGCAUUUGAAACUGUCCAGCUGGAGUGCAGGAGAGGUAAGCGGAAUUCCUAGUGUAGCGGUGAAAUGCGUAGAUAUUAGGAGGAACACCAGUGGCGAAGGCGGCUUACUGGACUGUAACUGACACUGAGGCACGAAAGCGUGGGGAGCAAACAGGAUUAGAUACCCGUGUA